rnacentral:tRNA from 1 species
CGGAGUGUAGCGCAGCCUGGUAGCGCACUUGGUUCGGGACCAAGGAGUCGCUGGUUCAAAUCCAGUCACUCCGA